AUGAAGACUCUCUCCUCUUUUUUGCAGAAAGUAAUAACCUUCCUGAUGACCACGUCUUUUCUAGGAGAAAUAACAGGCGAAACUUUCUUUCAUCGACAAGAACAUGAAAAUCUUGCACUUCAGUGCAAUCAGCAAGCUGCUAAAGGAAAAGCAGAAAUAGCUUGGUAUAUAGCAGACAACAAUCUGCAGCAAUUUAACUUAAUUAACUGCUCUUCCAAGGAGUCUACUUUCUCAUGUGGAAAAAAAGGGGGACCUUCAGGCUGCAAUGAUACCUUACAAGUGACCCACAUAUCCCCUGAAGGAGGGCUGUUUGCAUGUGGAGCAGUUCCUAAUGGUGGAACACCAGCAACUUGCCCGCUGUUUCACAAUGUCUCUCACUGCAGGCACUACGACUUCUUUCUUACACAGACGAUUUACUCCACACAAGAAAGCAAGUCCUUAGACAGUGUUCCUGAAACACCAUACAGCAGCCUGGUAUUUGAAGACAACAUCACUUUGUCAUGUGAAUUUGAAACUACCUGCUCAGGAGAAUGUUUUACUCUGUAUUGGAUCAGAGCUGCAAAAAGAAGUGAAUGCAUUUUUUCUCUAGCAAAUGAAGCUGGGACCUCACAUUUGACUUACAAUGAGCAUUGCUGUAUUGAUGAAGACAUCCAUGGACGAUUAUUGAACAAUACCGACUUCAGUUCAACUGACAAAAAAAGUAAUGUGACUAUUCUGAAUGUUACUAGUUCUGACAGUGGAGAAUAUUUAUGCAUUGUUACUACCUGGAUAAAUGGCAAAUAUGUGUGGAGAGUUGCUAAUAACCUGUCUGUGGAAGUUCGGAAAGACAAAACUACAUAUAUACAGUGGUAUAUCGCCUCUGGAGCUAUAGCUGGGAUUAUUUUUCUGUGUGUCAUAACAUGGCUAACCUAUCUCAAGACAGCCAAAUCAAAAGGUUCUCCAUAUGCAACAAGUUGUGUCAGUGACAUGCAAAGAAGUGAGCACCUUUAUUGCCACGUAACAGGGACUUACGCGAAAGUCUCUGCCACAGAUAACAACAAGGCUUCUGGGACAGGACUGGAAGCAGAUAUACAUACAGUAUAUGCAUAUGCUGGUGAAUAA
rnacentral:lncRNA from 1 species